GAUUCUGAGAGCUCACUCCUAAACCGAGCACAGAGAGACAGGUGUGUGCCCUGGAAACACUCCCUGACAAACUUUCAACACACAACCCUCUGCCUCAGCGCCUGUUCACAGCGAUCUCAGUCCAAAGCAUUUGGUACUGGAAGUGGUCCUGGGAAACCGACCCUGAAAUGGAAGUUUAAUGACUCAGCCUUAAAAAAGGAUGAAAUAGUGCCAUUUGCAGCAACAUGGAUGGACCUAGAGAAGAUCAUACGGAGUGAGGCUCGGACCUCCGAAGGCAGAUCUCUGAACCUCACGGUAGGGUUCUUUAGCAGCCAGAAGAUGAAGAAUGCGUGACUCUGACCCUCCCAACACCCCAGGGUGGGAUCGCUCUUCGCCCCAUUUUCCAGGAAACUGAGAGAAAAGCAGCACUAGACUGGAGGAAUGAUGAUCAUGCAAGAUGACCCUGAGCCUUGGUCUGUCGUGGGGGCGAAUGAACCGGGAUUGACAGUAACAGGUCGACCAAGAGACCUGAACAGCCACACAAUGCAGAGUGAUUUCCUUGCACCAAACACUGGGAUGUUCAUUUACCCUCCCCAAAGCCAUGGACUGGUAUGAAAACUGCUCCCAACUCCUUCCAACCCUGACACGGGACGAUGACGCUGAAGUUUAUCUAGGAAGAGGCACAAAUCGGACAGCCGACCCUAAUAAAUCAUGGAGUAGGAACAGGGCUGCCCCGGAUCCUUAACCCAUUGAGCGAGGCCAGGAUCAAACCCACAUCCUCAUGGAUCCUAGUCAGUUUCUGAGGGCCACGAUGUUCCAGGUAAGACCCAUCAAGGGUCUCCUGUUCUAUUCCCAGCUCUGGCAGGAAGCAGGCAGGGAGAGUGGACUGGGUGCCUGGGGGACCCUGUAGCAUCCAUGGGAGCUUGUACCUGAGCCAAGCACAUUUUAAAAAGGAUGCGACUCCCAGGCCAGACUGCUCAUUGCUUUCUCCUGGACCUAAGUCUGUCAGCAAAUCUGGUUGGCAGGCACCUCUGCUACUUGAAUUUUGCAGAGACCAGCCUCAUUGAACUCACCCAAACACUGUCAACAUGUGAAGGCAGGGUGGAGAGAAUGCAAAUACUAAUGAGGGUCAUAGAGAAGCUGAAUCUAUCAGCCGUUCUCCUGGGACAUCUGGCUAAUCCAUUAACUUGCACCACCAGUUAUGAGCCCUCUUUCUACCUGGUUAUUUCGGAGACCACGGUCUUGACCGGCCCUUCCUCAUUUUGGUACAGUUCCUUCACUUCUGGAAAUCUUUGACUUAUUCACAAUAAACUUACCUGCUCUUUUCAACU
rnacentral:lncRNA from 1 species